AACUAGAACCCACGACCUCCCGACUCUCAGACCCGUGCUCUGACCACCGGGCCACGCCGCCUCUCAAAUCUGGAGAUGCGCACCAUCGACUAAAGUUGGAAUGUGGACUUUUGAAUGCUUCCUUGAAGAUAACACCUGAAUGGCUAGAAUACAACCAACUGAGGUGGGAAUACCCAAGAAAAGAUGUCGACCGAUCUCGCUCAGCCUCAGACAAUACUAGAGCUGGAAUCCUGAGUCUUCAGCUUUCACUUCUGGUUGUCCCACCGACCCGCCGCCUUCCCCUUAACGGACGGCGACUCCUGUCAUCGUUAACUAG